UACGUAGGGGCCUAGCGUUGUCCGGAUUUAUUGGGCGUAAAGAGCUCGUAGGCGGUGUGUCGCGUCGGCCGUGAAAACCUGGGGCUUAACUCUGGGCGUGCGGUCGAUACGGGCAUCACUGGAGUUCGGGCAGGGGAGACUGGAAUUCCUGGUGUAGCGGUGAAAUGCGCAGAUAUCAGGAGGAACACCGGUGGCGAAGGCGGGUCUCUGGGCCGGCACUGACGCUGAGGAGCGAAAGCGUGGGGAGCGAACAGG
rnacentral:rRNA from 1 species